rnacentral:rRNA from 1 species
UCGGGAAUUUUGGGCAAUGGGGGAAACCCUGACCCAGCAACGCCGCGUGAAGGAUGAAGUAUUUCGGUAUGUAAACGUCGAAAGAAUAGGAAGAAUAAAUGACGGUACUAUUUUAUAAGGUCCGGCUAACUACGUGCCAGCAGCCGCGGUAAUACGUAGGGACCAAGCGUUGUUCGGAUUUACUGGGCGUAAAGGGCGCGUAGGCGGCAAUUCAAGUCAUCUGUGAAAUCUCCGGGCUUAACUCGGAACGGUCAGAUGAUACUGCUUUGCUAGAGUGCAGAAGGGGCAAUCGGAAUUCUUGGUGUAGUGGUGAAAUGCGUAGAUAUCAAGAGGAACACCUGAGGUGAAGACGGGUUGCUGGGCUGACACUGACGCUGAGGCGCGAAAGCCAGGGGAGCAAGCGGGAUUAGAUACCCCCGUAGUCCCUGAGCGGGCUGGCAAGGCGCAU